GGGAUGAUGGCGAGGGUAAAGCUCACCAACAAGUUGCAGCAGUCAUCCAUGUGGUUACUUCUUGACUUCAUCGUUCCUAUCCGGGGAGUCUCCGCCCUCGCGCUUUGGACAGACACUCAUUCAUAUGUGGUGGACUUUACUACUGACACGCAGCACUAGCAAACCUCCACGAUACAAGAUGUCAAAGAUUUUAUGCUUGAUAUUACUUACGAAAUGAGGUAUCCAAAUAUAUUGGGCGCCGUGAAGAAUGUAAAUUCCAAUUUAUUAUGAAUAAAAUAAAAUAGUGAAUUUCUAUUUUACCUCCAGUUUGUGAUUUUGUGAUGUAAUCACCACAUUUAAUUUUGGGAAACUUUCCAAACUAACCGAUCGAUCUAGUGCUGGAUCAGUCGCACCACUCACUCGCUUGUGGCCCCCGUACAUCCACAAAUGGAGGUGGGGCCCACCCCACGGUCCGCGUCUAAUAUUUUCUUACGACUUUACGCGUAUUUUAUUGCAGUUGAUUUUCUCAAUUGCGUCACAACCAUUUAUUCCUCCCAAAAACUCUCUCUCAUGUGUCUUUCACCUCAUGCAUAGCAUCUCGCCUAUGAUGGUCCCCGCCAACAUGCAAAUCUCACCAGCGUAUGGUUGCCUCCUGUUAGGGGGCACGCUCACCGCUGCAAAGGAUGACGAGAGGCUGUUGCAAGCCUAGGUCAAGCGCUCGUGCGGCUCCCAUUCCGCAUGGUUGUAACAACGAUGGUUGCGGCUGUGACGUGAAUGCUGUUGUCCAUGGUAGGCGAAUCAGUGUCGCGACCAUGGUUUUCACUUUCGUUGAUAUUUUAAUGAAAUUCACCGAAUUUCAUUAAUUCCAGCUGUUACUGAAAUAACUUCUGCCCAAAAUAUUUCAGCAAUUUUAGUAGUACACAUGAAUUUAAAUAUUUUUCAAAAAUAAGUUGAGCUAAGAUCAAAUAGUCAAUUGACUUCAAGUGAAUAUUUCAGCCUUUUGGUCAAAACAAGAAUUGAAAUCACCGAAAUUCACUACAUUUCAGUGAUUUCAAUUAGUGUUGAUUUUUCUUUUUCUGAAAGUGAAAUUGAGAACUUUGGCUACGACUUUGCGGUGGCAAAUGGUGCCGAAAACAAACCGAGGGCGGGAGGCGUGUGCAUCCCUACAAGGCGAUGAUUUCCGCAAGAGCAGGGGCGAAGUGUUGUGCCUCAUGUGUGUCGGAAGGUGGACAUAGAGAGGCAAGAUCCGAUAUCUCACAACGCAGGAAUCGGAUGGCACGAGAGUUGACCGAUCAGUGUGACACCGAGUCGAAUAACGGCUAAGCUUUCCUUUAAUUUUCCAUGUUACAUUCUACCCUGAAUUUGUGUCGUGGUUUCAAAAUUUAACCCAUUUAGCUAUUUACACCGUCCUAACAGCCUGCAAUCACACGCGAGGUCAUGCAUGUGAACUCAGGUGCCAACUCAAAAACAUUUUUUAGUUUCCCACUUCCUCAUGACCCUCCAAGGUAGCUGACACGCAGAGGCAGCACAACCCAAUGCCCGCACAACUUCACUCGGUGGUGCGAGAGCAAGUCAUCCUAUAGAGACGCCCCAAAUGCCAUAUGCUUUAGGAUGAUGUCUAUCAUGUUUUAUUCAUGAGAAUUUGAAAAAAAUGUUAUGUUUAAAUAUAUAUUUUCAACUUUAAAAUUUAUGAAUUUAAAAUGACGCUACAUUGUGCGAGGUUGGAACAUGAAACUUCAAUUAUACUGGUGCGGAAGUGGGUUUGAAAUAUAAGGUAAAUAGAAAGAAAAAACAAAUAUAAAGUCUGCAAUUUUAGGAAUUCUGAAAUGGAAUGAGGCUCUAAAACGUUUUAAGGAAUCCGAAAGAAGUAAAUUGGCACUUGCAGUCAUAGAAUUUAUGGGAUGAGUGCAGUUUAGUCACCCUCAACUUGAAAACUAGAAAAUGUGGUAACAUAACUUGAGCUUCGGUGCGGUCAGAUAAUUUGAGCUUCGAGUGUAGAUAGGUCAUAUUUAACUGAAUUUGUUAGUUUUAUUGCAAGAAACCCCUAAAUUUUCUAGCAUUUUUUUUGGAAAUAUAGACUCUCCCUUCUAGCGACUGCUCUGAUGUAGUUGACGUGCAAGACCUAUCGAUGAAAUUCAAAUUGUUCUUGUGUAAAAGAGCGUGCGACGGUGACGGUCCACGCAGCAAAGCGACAUAUUCACUGGAUGCGGAGAAGGAGAUGCCUCAUCUCUAUUCCUUAGGUUAAAAGGCUACCGAAGGGUGGAGGGACAUACAACAAUGCUUAGAAGAGCUCGGGCUUGCCUCUAAAGGUAACUCGGGAGAGAGAGGGAUACAUACGACAUCCUAUUCAUCGCACAAAUGGCCACCAAGGCUCUUGAGGAUUGAAAGAGGCAACACUUAAAACAAAACCAGACGGUGAUCCCAUGACUUGUUCAUCACCAAACCUAUUACUCUUGGAGAUUUGCAACACCUACAUGAUUGGAGUCCAGCAUGGAAUUAGCUUCCUUGCUUUUGGUGUGUUCUGGGAAGUUUGUAAAGGUCUAGUGGUUGCCUUGAAGAACAACCACUAGUGAUUUCAGGCUCAUCCAUUGGGGGUGAUUCAAAAGGAGAAAGGGGGUGAAUCAUUUAGUGGUGUUUGGGAAGUCUUGGCUCUCGCACCUAUCAAACGGAGGUUAACACUCCCAAAAAAUAGAAACUUCGGGAUACAUCCUCGUGUCCAACUUGUGUGGUUAAUACAUAUCCGUAUCUUUAUUUCCUAUGUUUGAUAGUUAGCUUUGUAUAUAGUUUAUCCGCAUUACCCCUUAGACUGGAAGAAAAACUAAAAUCCGGUAGUUCUUUUCACUCCCCUCUAGUCUAAAGGGUGGCUGUGUGGGCAGCAUAAUAAUCAGUAAAUUGUUUUUUUAUAUGCACAUGAAAAAAAUGAUUGUUUCAGAGUGUUCUCCAUUUGCUAUUAGCUGAUACAAUAUUGCCAUACCGUUUUCUCAAUGUGGUUCAUGCCUUAAAUUACUUUGUAUUGCUUUUGGGGGAAAUUGUAUACCAAGAACAUUUCCUAAAGCAUCUAUAUUCAAGUUGACGUUAUCCUUUUUGAUUUGGUAUCAGUUGGGUAGAAUUUCAAUCUUAGGCAGGAGGUGGACUAUUUUGACAUGUAGUGAGAUAUAUGGUAAAAACAUGGCAAACAGUUUCAACGUUGUUAAAUGGUUUUCUUUUGAAGCAAAUGCCUGAUGGAAUAAAUAAAAACAGAAAGCAAUAGAUAACAAGUAGAGUAAUAUUAGAGACAAACUACAUCAAUUUAACAAUGAUUAGUUUCGGCAAUUUAACGAAACAGGAUCCGGCUGCAAACUUUAUAACUAGAGAUGAAAAUGGAGCGAAAACAGAUGGAACUGGGUGCUACCAGAUUUGUUUUCAUAUUUUUUUACAGAAACAGAAACAAAUACAGAAACCCCGAAAAUGAAUAUGGAAACAAAUAUUACCGAAAACAGACACAAAGUGAAUACAUAGCGGACACGGAAACAUAAGUGAGCAUUGUCCGGAAAUUUAAAACCCCUUAAGUGGUGUAGACAUAAACAUAAAAUCCAAAAUAUAAUGAAAUCUUACCAUGGCUAAAACUAAUAUGAUUAUGUUGGCACCUUAGCAUAGUAUAGUCGUAGUAGUACUGAACAAUUGUGUAUAGGGGUCUAGUUAAGUACAUAUGUGAUAAUUGGGCCUCAAAUGAUCCGUUAUGAUUAUUGUGUCAUUGUGCGUUAUUUGGUAGUUAGGCUACAAAGCUGCCAUAGGCUUAUACAAAAAUUAGAAAUUUUAUAUCCGCGUAAACGAAAAGUUCCCUUUCCACCUUUUUUCCACCGGAAAACAUUGUUCCGUUUUUUUUCCGUUUCCGCAUAAAAUAUUCCAUUUCCAUUUUUAUAUUUCCUUUUAUUUUCAUUUUUCCACCAGAAAAGCAGAAAGUUUUCACUCCGUCUUAAUCUCUAUUUAUAACCACAUAAAAUUAGCAUAACACAUAAUGUUCAACACCAUGAUCAACUGCGCAAAGCUUGAUAAACUUUGGAGACUUAGCAUUUGACUCUGUCCUUCACGCAGGGGCCUUGCAUGGUUUUAUCAGCCCACUCACGCAGCCUCGCAUGGGCCUUGCAUUGCAUCACCUGGACAGUGGCUUCACAGGCUCAAGGCCGCUAUGACCAUGUGUCUCUGAAAAUAGUAAAUGUGUCCCAAACAAAACAGCUAUCGAAUUCCCCUGGAAAAAAAACCUGACAUCCAAUACUAGGUUGAAAAGAAAUACGAUCAAAUGUUUAUAUAUAGGGGAGUGAUCUGCGCCGGUGCGCCGGCCGAAACUUUCGGCCGACCGCGCGCGGGCCGCACGAUCCAUCACCCCCUGCGCGUUUGCAUCGUUGAAUCUCCAUGCAAUAUUUUUUCUCCCGAUGAAGCCAAAUCCGCCGCGAUGCAACAUUUUUUUUCAACGGUUGCAACAAAAAAAAUGUAGCAAAAAAAUAUCUACGUGAUCGUAGCAAAAAGACAAAUCUGAUGAUGCAUGGUAACAAAAGUCAAACGCCGGUUGUAACACAUAUCUACGUGAACGUGUAUGCAACUUUUUUAAUGAACGGUUGUAGCAAAAAAUAAUGCUGGUUGUAGCAAAAAUUAACACGGUUGUACCAAAAGUAAAACAUCGAUUGUAACAAAAAUCCGACGAACUGGAGUUGCAACCAACGGUAUAUGCAGCUUUUUUUACUGGACAAAAUAUAGUAAAAAACGCUUGCAACAAAUAUGACGCUGGUUGCAACAAAUUUAGACGAAAAAUGUUACAUCCACUGACCAGCGAAGCGCGCGCGUGCGAAAAAUGUUGCAUGGACCCGCGCGCACGAGGGAGCGACCGGCUCGUCGGUUCGGCCGACGCACCGUAUGGAAACGAUUCCCUUAUAUAUAUGACGAAAACGAGUUUUCCCCCGCUUUGUAUUACAAAGCAACCAAUCAAAACAUUCGAUGAUAGGUGCUGGGACGAAAACAACACAGUCACGCCCAAAAGAAAUGAAAAAGAAAAUACAAAGGAAACAAAUGCCAACACAGGCGGAUUGACAGAAACACAAAAGACUCGCGACCGCUGCGCCCAUCAAGAGUCUUUCACCAAGCUCUAGGACUCCGAAGCGUCGGUACCAUCAGCACCUCCAAGAAGGAAUGCAACGAUGACGACUCUGUUGUCAAGGGUUUCCCUCGAUACGCGACGAGGCGAGAGGAAGGGUAGCCCCGACGCCCUCGAGGAAGGUUCGGCGACACCCAAGGGCGUCACCGCGUCAGUGUCUGCCGGGCCGACAGGGGUUCCCCCGAUCCCAACCUGCACCUCGGGCGCUCCGGAGCCUGCCACCAAACCACCUGACACCCUGCACUAACACGGUCUUGAGGCCCAUGCGCUGUCUCACCACGACACCGUAAGGAGAAGCCUACACAAUUAUGAAGAGGAGCCGGGACAAGGAGCAGCAGCACCGUCGGCACGCGGGAGGGCUUAACCUCCACCGUCAACAACGGUAGCCGAUCGGACGCAAUAGUAGGAGCAUACCAGGCCCGUGAGCUCACAUGCCAGCCCGGGACCUACCCCCGUAAACCUCCCGUCAUCACGCUGCAACAGGCAUGCCGUCGGCAACGCCACCCCCUGUCCAAGCUGCUCCGCCUCACCACCAUGCAGAAGCCACUGCAAUCACGCCGAGAGCCGGCCCGCUAGGACCCAGAUGGGCCCUAGAUGGCCUAAAUCUGGGCCAAGGGCGCGCCGCCAACCACCCCGCACCACCACGCCGCCCUGCCGCCAAGGAGCAUCGCCGCCACCUCAUCCGUCANCUCGACAAAGUUUUUCGUCUCCAUUAGUGAGAUUUUUAAAAAUAAAGCAAACGAAGGAUCGGUAGGCUUUAGCUACGACCAUGUGUCCUAAAAAAGGCUACGACCAUGAGCAGGAUGGGAAUCUAGAGCUCAUGACCUGUAGCUAUAAUUAUUAUGGCAAUAACCAACUGGGCUAGCUGCUCUUGGUAACCGGGCACAAUUUGUUUUUCAUUUUCUUCAUAUAUGUAGUAGCAAAAAAAGAAAGAACUUCCCUUUCCUUUUUCUAUUUUGCAAAAAUAAUCAACAGAGCUAGCUAGCUUGCUACUCUUUGUGAAUAGAUACCAUCUGGGCUAGCUACUCCAUAUAUAACGGUUGGCGAAGUGGAAACAUGUGUAAUCUACCGUUGGUUAUUUAUACUGUUGUAUUUCCAUAAUACUUAAAUAGCAAAAGGGCCCGUGCGUUGCAACGGAAGAAAAAAAAUUACAAUCUCCAAUGGUGCUGAUCAUAUUAUGUCUUUAAAAUUUUAGGACAUUUCUUGAAAUGCAUGGACAUUUUUUGAAUUAGCAAGCAUUUUUUUCAGUUGCACUCAAAAAAUAAUACACAAUAUUUUUAAAAAUCGUGGACUUUUAUUGUUUUCACCAACAUUGUUCUCUAAAUUAUGAACAUUUUUUUGAAUAUGCGAAUAUUUUUACAAAAAUCCCGAGCAUUUUUUGAAUUCACAAACAUUUUAUGUUUUUAUCAAACUUUUAUUUCAAAAUUCUCAGUUUUAUAAAUUGCAAAAGUUUUUGAAAGUUCUAAAUUAUUUAAAUUAAAAAAUGGAACAAAAAAAGAAAAUAAAAAACGAGACUAAAAACAGAGGCACGAAAAAAAGAUUUUCACACGGACUUUUGUUCAAAAUCAUUGACUUUUUUUAUUUUAUGGACAUUUUUUCAAAUUUAAACAUUUUUUGUAUAUGCAAACAUUUUUCAAAACUCCUGAGUAGUUUUUGAAUUCUCAAAAAAAUAUAUGUUUUUUUGAAUAUUUGAUUUCGAAAUUCUCAGUUUCUUAAAAUUGAUUUUUUUUAUUUUAAGUUCUAAAUUAUUUAAAGUAGAAAAACAAAAUGGAACUGAAAAUAAAAAUAAAAAACUAAACUAAAAAAACAGGCGCCCACGCAUGGGCCAGCCCAAACAAGUGUGCUGCAUCUUUUUCUAACGCCCAGAGCGUAAUAUAGGAGGUGCCUACAUGGUCGGCCCAGUUAGAAGAUUUUCCUGGUUGAAACGUUUUGGGUGACUUGUGGCAUUGGUGGGUAAUUUUAGCCAACUUUAUGAGCAAUUUAAAUAACCUAUUGUAGAAGCAGUAUUUGCUUUAUUAACUCCAAAGUUAUAGGUCCUUAAUCACCAUGACCACAUAAGAAAUCGCGUAGAAGAGAAGAGCAAGUACUGGAUUAAUCGGAUUUAUUCAUAAAAGAUAACCACCUUCUAUAACGAAAAUCCAAGCCUCCUUCCGGGCUCAUUUGUUCCCCGGUCAGAAAAAAUUUCAAAACAAAUACGUUAGAUAUUUUGAUGUGUGAGGCGCGCUUCAAAUUUUAACUUAUUUAGACAUCUGGGCAGCUCUCAACAAAAAAGACAAAUCGGAGUAUGUCAUAUGGCAACUCAUGCAUGUAAUUCAUUACUCUAUGCAUCUUUUGGAAAAAUAGCUAGUGUGUUCUAGCUAUUUAAAAAUAGAAAAUUGUCUAAAUACGAACCUAGCAUCCAUCGAUUGAUGCCGCUGCAGUAACACAUGAGUAAUUCUAUCUGCACUCUUUUCCUUUUGGCCAAAUUCACAAUAAAUAUAAGAGCGUUUAUAGAUCAUUAAAGUAGAUAAAGUAUUGUACGAAGUACUGGGAUUUACAGUUAACUCUCGGUAGCCGAAUUAACCUUGGCAAGGGCAAACCUCAAAUUUCCAUACACUAUUUCCUGAGCCACUAUGACCGUAGAAGAAACAUGGAAACAUAAAUUCGGUGUGAUAACUGUAGGUAGAGGGCAAGGGAAAUCUCUGAUCAUUACAGUAAACAUUUAUAUAUAAAUAGCAAAAUGGCCCGUGCGUUGCAACGGAAGAAAAUAAUAAUCUUCAAUGAUGAUGACCACAUUAUAUUCACACAUCAUAGCUUAAUUUUGAAAUUUUGUGCACAAAUGCAAGAAAAUGUUUCUUCUUUUAAAUCUAUUCACAAGUUGAAGCAAUCUUUACAUUAUUUUUAAAAAACAUCAUGGUUGUCAAAAAUCUUGGUAACUCCAAGAAUUAUUCUUAAUUUCAAGAAUUUCUUUUAGAAAACAUACAAUAAUAAUCCGAUCCAUCCAACAGUUAAUUCUUUUAAAAUCAUACGGGUAUAUUUUCACAAAGACUUAGAAGCAUUAAUGUUUAACUACAUACAUUAGAUCUUUCAUGAUUUUUUUUACAAAUAUGCGAACAAUUUUAAAAUCGAGAACAUUUUUUACAAUUUACAAACAUUUAAUAAAAAUCAUGAAUAUUUUUUAUAUUUCAAACGGGUUUAAAUAUUUUCUUUUGAAUUGGCGACUAUUCUAGAAAAGACGAACAUAAGUUUUGAUGUUGGAGGAUUUUAAUUUAAAUUCACAAACAUUUUUGAAACGCAUGAAGUUUUUUUGAAUAAACAAACAUUUUUAUAAGUCAGUAAUAUAUUUAUGAAAUUCACGGACAUUGUUUUGGAAUUUGCAAAAAACAUUUAUAAAAAUCUGGCGCCUUUUUUGAAUCCAGAAUUUUUUUAUAUAUUCGUAAACAUUUUAAUUCAAAAUUCCUAUUUUUUAAUAUGCAAAUGCUUUUGUAAUUCUAUAUUAUUUAAAUUAGAACUAAACAAAAAUGGAACGGAAAAAUGUAAAUAACAAACGAAAAUUUUCAAAACAGGCAUUAGCUAUUUUUAAAAUUUUAGGACAUUUUUUAAAUGCAUUAACAUAUUUUGAAUUAGAAAGCUGUUUGUUAAAUGCGUUUAAUAAUUUUUAGUACAUGAUGUUUGAUUUGAAAUCAUGGACUUUUCUUAUUUUACAAACAUUUUUUCAAACUUGCAAACAUUUUAUUGUAUAUGCGAGCAUUUUUUACAAAAACUCCGAGCAGUUUUUGAAGUCACAAACGUUUUAUUUUUUAAAUAUGUUGAUUUAAAAUUUAAAGUUUUAUUAAAAAUUUAAAAGUUAUUUGAAGUUAUAAAUGAUUUAAAAUAGAAAAAUAAAAUGGAACUGAAGAGAAAUAAAUAAACGGAAAUAAAAUAACUGGGCCUGUGCAUGGGCCGGCUCAUACGGUGUGCUGGAUAUUCUCCCAGGAUGCAGAGUUUAAUAUAGGAGGUUUUUACAUGGGCCGGCCCAGUCAUAGAUUUUUCGCCUUGUGAAACGUUUUCUAUUACUUACCGGUGGCACGGUGGGCAAUUUAUGCAAACUUUAGGGGCAAUUUCCAUGACGUACCACGAAAGCAAUAGGUGCUUUAUUAAUAGGUAAAGAUAUUACGUUGAACACACGGGUAUUUUUGCUAUCUUUAUAUAUACUCCUUACUAAUAAUAAAGUAAGGUGUGUUCCUCUUAAUUUUUAAUCCGUUCACUGUAUAGAAUUAUUUUCUUCCAUAACUAUCUGAAGUGAUGCUAAAAUUUUGUCCAUCCAGGGAUAAAUAAAUUUUUGGACUGGGUCUCCAAACCGUGCAGUGAAGGGCCUGCUCCGCAUCUUUUUUAUUCGAUUGGGCCACAAGAAGUUGGUCCCGUUACCCUAAUAAAAAGGAGUUGGUCCUCAACAUGGGCCCAAGAGGCCUAAAAAUUACCAACCCAAUAAGUCGUCUCUUCCUAUUAGAAUUGUAAAUAGAACCAUGUCACCCAUGAAAACAAAUCCAUCUAUUAAUAUACAUCUUGGAGUUAUCUGUUAUUAAUCAACUCAACAAGUUGGCUUGGGAAGCAAUAAACUGAGGAUGAUGACGAUGGUCUGAGAAGCAGAGAAUGAGUCCCAUUAAAGUAAGGAACGAAUAUGCUGUUGUAUAUGGGCUAAUUACGUGGUGCACAAUAACAUAGCUUUCCACAUAAUUAAAGGAGGUUGCAUGAUGUGUGCACGGGAUUCAAUUAGCAAUGGGUAAUUAAACAGCGGUGGACGAAAGGUUAAAUUGAUGCAUGGGGAGAAGAAGUAGGAAAAUAGGGCGGGACAGAUGGAAACAAGUGGACGCAUGAGAACGUGUAACACGUUCUCCUGCUACAACGCACGAUUAUUUGUGUUAGUAGUGCAUAUGCGCAUGCUUACACAAGAUGGUGUCUCUUAAUAUGAGCUACCUAAGCGAAAGCGGACGUUUGGAGCUCGGCCUUUAUGGAGGUUGAAAUUUUUGAAUAAUUCAAAAUUCAAACUUUUCGGUCUUCAAAAAAUCUGAAAAAAAUAUGCAAGUAAAAAAAGGAUGUUAUGUGUAUGUGUGUAAAAAUUUAGGAUAAAAUACCUUGAAAUACGAUUUGUACAAAAAAGACAAAUUCAUGACCUGAAACGAUGAAUAGUGUCAUGUGUAAAAAAGCCUAAAAUUUGUCUUUUUUGCACAGCCCUCAUUUCAUUGUAUUGUUUUCUGAAAAUUUACACACAUGUGUGUUACGCCUUCACUUAUCCCUGUAUUUUGUUUCAGAAUUUUUUGAAAUAUAAAAAUACAAAUUUUCAUGAAAUUUGAAUUUCAAAUUUAAAGGUCUCCAUGAAGCUCGGGAGCCAAAAACAAUUUCCGCUAGCUAAGCAGCUUAUAUGCGCGUGGUGGUUGGACAAGCUUUGGACGUGAUAUACGUACCAAAAGUCUGUUCAAGCAUCUCCCACGACAACAUUAUUUUCUCUGAAGAAGCAUGCAGAAAAAUCUGAGACCAAAACAACUUGUGCCAUGAAAUGUGCAUUUCAAUUUUCACAAUCAGUUUACUACUACAUUAAUGUACGUAAUUCACACCCUUAGACGUUAGAGCAUCUUCAAGCAUGCAACUAUCAUGAUAAUUGACUCAACUGAAAUUUGGCAUGUUGAAGGUAGCUUCAUCGAUUUAACAUUGUUGCAAUGCAAGACGUGAGAUGGGCAUUCCAUAAGAAUGAUGUGAGAGUUUGUUUCUCCUAGUAUUAUAAAAGGGCCAUUGCAUAACGUUGAGCUUUUUCCGGGGAGAUAUCGCAUCCCUAUUGGAGAUGAGAUGACUACCAUUGAAACAAGAGCCACCCACAUAGUUUAGAUGAGAUACUAGAAGAAAACUGAAGAAAUUGAUCUAGAAUACGUAGGUAUAGAAGGGAUAAAUGACUCACAUGUUUAUAUUGCAUGCAUACCCCGUUCGUAACUCCGGGCACAUGCACCAAGCGGCUGGAGGGGAUGAUGGCGAGGGUGGAGGUCACCAACAAGUUGGAGUAGUCACCCGUGUGGUUACUUCUCGACUUCAUCGUUCCUAUCCGGGUAGUCUCUGCCCGCGCGUUGCGGACAGACAACCAUUUAUACGCGGUACACUUUACUACUGACCUGCAGCAAUAGCAAACGUCCACGAUAGAGAAUAUCAAAGAUUUUAUGCUUGACGUUGCUUACAAAAUGAGUUGUCCAAAUAUAUUGGACGCCCUGAGGAAUGUAAAUUUCUAUUUAUUAUGAAUAAAAUAAAAUAAUGAUUUUUUCAUUUACC
rnacentral:lncRNA from 1 species